CGGGCAGUAGGUCAGUGGUAGAUCUCCCGCUUCGAAUGCGGGGAGACCUGGGUUCGAUUGCCGGCUGCUUAC
rnacentral:tRNA from 1 species